AGGAGGCAACGGAGGAGGAGUUGAUGGAUGCUAUGGCUCAGGCAGACUCAACUGGGAUGUUCAUUUGCCCGCACACUGGUGUGGCAUUGACUGCCCUGUUCAAGUUGAGAAACAGUGGAGUUAUUGGACCAAAUGAUAAGACUGUGGUUGUGAGUACAGCACAUGGAUUGAAGUUUACUCAAUCAAAGAUUGAUUACCACUCAAAGGAAAUAAAGGACAUGGAAUGUCGGUUUGCUAGUGGAGUUAUCGGACCCAAUGAUAAGACUGUGGUUGUGAGUACAGCACAUGGAUUGAAGUUUACUCAAUCAAAGAUUGAUUACCACUCAAAGGAAAUAAAGGACAUGAAAUGUCGGUUUGCUAACCCACCGGUGGAGGUGAAAGCAGAUUUUGGAUCAGUCAUGGAUGUUCUCAAGAAAUAUUUGUUGAGCAAAAAUGCCAAGCACUGAUUUGCUUUCUCAGUUAUAACAGGGUAAGUUUGUAUUAUGUACUUCUAAUGUCAGCAUUUGGUUCUUCAUCGUCAUUAAGUUGUCAUGUAGAAAUGACCGGAUGGUGAUUUGUUUGUUGGCAGAGUUGGGGGAGAGAAAGGCUCUAAAUUUCCUUUGGGAGGACUAUGAAUUUAAGUUAUUUUAUGGAACUCUUUCUUUGUGUAAUAGUCUGCUAUUUGAAUGUUAUUUAGCAUUGGCAUUGCUUUGGAGCAUCACAAUAAAGCUCAGUUUUCCCAUAAUGUUAUAAUCACUAUCUAAGAUAAUCAAAAACUUUUCUUUAAUAUAAACUGAGAAAGUACUGUUUUUCAGUACCUUCAAUGUGUUUUUAGAACUAUUGUUCA
rnacentral:lncRNA from 1 species